rnacentral:rRNA from 1 species
GACGAACGCUGGCGGCGUGCCUAAUACAUGCAAGUAGAACGCUGAAGAGAGGAGCUUGCUCUUCUUGGAUGAGUUGCGAACGGGUGAGUAACGCGUAGGUAACCUGCCUUGUAGCGGGGGAUAACUAUUGGAAACGAUAGCUAAUACCGCAUAACAAUGGAUGACACAUGUCAUUUAUUUGAAAGGGGCAAUUGCUCCACUACAAGAUGGACCUGCGUUGUAUUAGCUAGUAGGUGAGGUAAUGGCUCACCUAGGCGACGAUACAUAGCCGACCUGAGAGGGUGAUCGGCCACACUGGGACUGAGACACGGCCCAGACUCCUACGGGAGGCAGCAGUAGGGAAUCUUCGGCAAUGGGGGCAACCCUGACCGAGCAACGCCGCGUGAGUGAAGAAGGUUUUCGGAUCGUAAAGCUCUGUUGUAAGUCAAGAACGGGUGUGAGAGUGGAAAGUUCACACAGUGACGGUAGCUCACCAGAAAGGGACGGCUAACUACGUG